rnacentral:rRNA from 1 species
UACGUAGGGUGCGAGCGUUGUUCGGAAUUACUGGGCGUAAAGCGCACGUAGGCGGCUUGGUAAGUUAGAGGUGAAAGCCUGGAGCUCAACUCCAGAAUUGCCUUUAAGACUGCCGAGCUAGCAGGUGAGAGAGGUGAGUGGAAUUCCGAGUGUAGAGGUGAAAUUCGUAGAUAUUCGGAAGAACACCAGUGGCGAAGGCGGCUCACUGGCUCAUACUGGACGCUGAGGUGCGAAAGCGUGGGGAGCAAACAGG